CGGGGUGCACCAGGCGCGAAAACUCCACAAUGUACGACAGUACGAUGGGGUUAUCUCGAGUGCAGUCCGAUAAGGGCUGCUUUUCCAUAGAGUAAUAUCCUGUGGGAAUAAGAGGGGGGCAAGACUGGUGUCAGCCGCCGCGGUAACACCAGCCCCUCGAGUGGUGGGGACUAUUAUUUGGUCUAAAGCGUCCGUAGCUGGCUGUAUCCGUCCCCCGUUAAAUCCAGCGUCCUAAGCGUUGGACUGCGGGUGAUACCAUACAGCUAGAGGGUGGGAUAGGUGAGCGGUAUUUCUGGGGUAGGGGCGAAAUCCUUUGAUCCCAGGAGGACCACCAGUGGCGAAGGCUGCUCACUAGAACACGCCUGACGGUCAGGGACGAAAGCUGGGGCAGCGAACCGGAUUAGAUACCCGGGUAGUCCCAGCUGUAAACGAUGCCAGCUAGGUGUUGGGUCGGCCACGCGCCGCCCCAGUGCCGCAGGGAAGCCGUUAAGCUGGCCACCUGGGGAGUACGGCCGCAAGGCUGAAACUUAAAGGAAUUGGCG
rnacentral:rRNA from 1 species